GCAAGUCGAGGGGUAACAUUUGUGCUUGCACAAGAUGACGACCGGCGCACGGGUGCGGAACGCGUAUGGAACCUGCCCUUGUCAGGGGAAUAGCCCAGAGAAAUUUGGAUUAAUGCCCCAUGGUACCGGGACGACACAUGUCGACCCGGUUAAAGAUUUAUCGGACAGGGAUGGCCAUGCGUACCAUUAGUCAGAUGGUGGGGUAACGGCUCACCAUAACUACGAUGGUUAGGGGUCCUGAGAGGGAGAUC
rnacentral:rRNA from 1 species